rnacentral:rRNA from 1 species
AGAGUUUGAUCCUGGCUCAGGACGAACGCUGGCGGCGUGCCUAAUACAUGCAAGUCGAGCGGACCGACGGGAGCUUGCUCCCUUAGGUCAGCGGCGGACGGGUGAGUAACACGUGGGUAACCUGCCUGUAAGACUGGGAUAACUCCGGGAAACCGGGGCUAAUACCGGAUGCUUGAUUGAACCGCAUGGUUCAAUCAUAAAAGGUGGCUUUUAGCUACCACUUGCAGAUGGACCCGCGGCGCAUUAGCUAGUUGGUGAGGUAACGGCUCACCAAGGCGACGAUGCGUAGCCGACCUGAGAGGGUGAUCGGCCACACUGGGACUGAGACACGGCCCAGACUCCUACGGGAGGCAGCAGUAGGGAAUCUUCCGCAAUGGACGAAAGUCUGACGGAGCAACGCCGCGUGAGUGAUGAAGGUUUUCGGAUCGUAAAGCUCUGUUGUUAGGGAAGAACAAGUACCGUUCGAAUAGGGCGGUACCUUGACGGUACCUAACCAGAAAGCCACGGCUAACUACGUGCCAGCAGCCGCGGUAAUACGUAGGUGGCAAGCGUUGUCCGGAAUUAUUGGGCGUAAAGCGCGCGCAGGCGGUUUCUUAAGUCUGAUGUGAAAGCCCCCGGCUCAACCGGGGAGGGUCAUUGGAAACUGGGGAACUUGAGUGCAGAAGAGGAGAGUGGAAUUCCACGUGUAGCGGUGAAAUGCGUAGAGAUGUGGAGGAACACCAGUGGCGAAGGCGACUCUCUGGUCUGUAACUGACGCUGAGGAGCGAAAGCGUGGGGGAGCGAACAGGAUUAGAUACCCUGGUAGUCCACGCCGUAAACGAUGAGUGCUAAGUGUUAGAGGGUUUCCGCCCUUUAGUGCUGCAGCAAACGCAUUAAGCACUCCGCCUGGGGAGUACGGUCGCAAGACUGAAACUCAAAGGAAUUGACGGGGGGCCCGCACAAGCGGUGGAGCAUGUGGUUUAAUUCGAAGCAACGCGAAGAACCUUUACCAGGGUCUUGACAUCCUCUGGACAACCCUAGAGAAUAGGGCUUCCCCCUUUCGGGG